GUUGCAGGGUUUCUAAAUUAAUGUCAUUUUGACAAAUGUGGCAUUUCCAUUUGAAAUCUUCAUUUUCUUUAAUCUCUCUUCAGUAUAUAAAAUAUUGUGCCUGGAUCUCCAUUGAAAUUCUUUUACUUUAUUUUCAAUUUUCAUAUGUUUUAAUCCCGACCACAUAUUUUCCCGAGGUAUAUUUGUUCCAAAUAUUUCCUCCCACUUAAUUUGACAUUUUGGAG
rnacentral:lncRNA from 1 species